UACGGAGGGGGCUAGCGUUGUUCGGAAUUACUGGGCGUAAAGGGCGCGUAGGCGGUCCUGAUCGUCGGAUGUGAAAGGCCUGGGCUCAACCUGGGAACUGCAUCCGAUACGGCGGGACUGGAGUGUGGGAGAGGUUGGUGGAAUUCCCAGUGUAGAGGUGAAAUUCGUAGAUAUUGGGAAGAACACCGGUGGCGAAGGCGGCCAACUGGACCACAACUGACGCUGAGGCGCGAAAGCGUGGGGAGCAAACAGG
rnacentral:rRNA from 1 species